GACGAACGCUGGCGGCGUGCUUAACACAUGCAAGUCGAACGCUGAACCCGCUUCGGUGGGGGAUGAGUGGCGAACGGGUGAGUAGCACGUGGGCAACCUGCCCCCGGCUCUGGGAUAACUCCAAGAAAUUGGGGCUAAUACCGGAUGUGACCGCUGGCCGCAUGGUCUGGUGGUGGAAAGGGUUUCCGGCUGGGGAUGGGCCCGCGGCCUAUCAGCUUGUUGGUGGGGUAGUGGCCUACCAAGGCGACGACGGGUAGCCGGCCUGAGAGGGUGACCGGCCACAAUGGGACUGAGACACGGCCCAGACUCCUACGGGAGGCAGCAGUGGGGAAUAUUGCGCAAUGGGCGGAAGCCUGACGCAGCGACGCCGCGUGGGGGAUGACGGCCUUCGGGUUGUAAACCUCUUUCAGCAGGGACGAAGCGCAAGUGACGGUACCUGCAGAAGAAGCACCGGCCAACUACGUG
rnacentral:rRNA from 1 species